UGUCCUGAUGAUACUAGCCUUAGGAAGUGCCGUCAGAAGCGAUAACUAAUGAUGUCUAUUCUUAUCUGACU
ensembl:snoRNA